rnacentral:lncRNA from 1 species
GAUACUAGAACAUGCAGUAUGUUGAUCUUGACAGUUUAUCCCAUGUUAAUUAUGUGUUUGUGUCUGUGUUUUCUGUCACAUUGCAGGUGUAAACUGAAAGAAACCCAAAGGUUGAUGGUGUUACCGAGAAAGGAGGCAUGGAUUACAUAAAGGUGAAACUAUUUCUGCAGCAGAGUUCUGUGAGAAAAUUACAUUUGCUGCAGUCGGGAGACAACUGUUUCCAAGUUUGCAAGUCUCAAGGUGAAUGAUUUCAACAUACAAAGAGUCUGGGAUACGUUGGUUUGCUUCGGAGAAUCAAAAAGACUGGAUGCAGACUGUGGAGAAAACGAAGGUGGGAUCAAGGCACCAACCUGCUGCCUCAGCUGGCAGGGUCACUUGUGUGUUCCAGGCUUGAGAUUCUUUGUAUAGCUGCAGGGUUGUGGUCUUUCCUGAACUUCUGACUUAUAACAUUCCCAGAAGACACGUGAUACUAGUAAUAACAAGAAAACACAAGUAAGUUAGAACCUGCCAUUUCAAAACAUUCAUUUUCUG